rnacentral:rRNA from 1 species
GCUCCCUCCGCGCCAUCAGACUCCUACGGAGGCAGCAGUGGGAAGUUUGUCGCAAUGGGGAAACCCGUGACGCAGCAACGCCGCGUGGAGGAUGAAAUACCUUGGGAUGUAACUCCUUUCGAUCGGACGAGUUAUGACGGUACCGGAAGAAGAAGACCCGGCUAACUUCGUGCCAGCCGCCGCGGUAAUAC